rnacentral:ncRNA from 1 species
CUUUUAGUGAAAAGGAGAGAUGGUUGGCAUCUCCCCUGGCAAGGAUGAGAACAGCUUUCAGGCUUUUCUAUUACACACAUCGGUUAAGGUUGUCCACCUUUUUAGGGUUGGAUCUAUAACCGAAUCAUCUGA